AUGGUGAACCGCGCGCACUUCGUCAUCCUUGUCCUCGCCUACCGCCUCCUGGUAUCCCUCUCAGCUGAAGCACAGCACACCAAAGAGUCGUAUGUCGUCUACAUGGGGAGUCCUUCCGGAGCCGGCGACGUGGAGGCGGUGCGCGCCGCCCACCUUGAGAUGCUGUCGUCCGUCGUGGCGAGCGGCGAGCAGGAGCCAUGGCCAUCCACGCCGUCGCUGACGCAUAGCUACCACCACGCGUUCGAGGGCUUCGCCGCCGAGCUCACCGAGGAGGAGGCCGCCGCGCUGUCCGACCACGAGAGGGUGGUGUCCGUGUUCCGGGACCGCGCUCUGCAGCUGCACACCACGCGCUCGUGGGACUUCCUCGACACGCAGUCCGGCCUCCGCACCGACCGCCUCGGCCGCCGUGCCUCCGGCGAUGUCAUCAUCGGCGUCAUCGACACCGGUGUCUGGCCGGAGUCGCAGAGCUUCAACGACGCCGGGAUGGGGGACGUGCCGGCGAGGUGGCGAGGCCUGUGCAUGGAAGGCCCGGACUUCAAGAAGAGCAACUGCAACAAGAAGCUCAUCGGGGCUCGGUACUACGGCAUCCAGCCCGGCUCGGCGGCGCCCACGUCGUCUAACGCCUCCCUUGGCGCGGUAACGGCCGCGAUGACCGGCUCGCCGCGAGACACCGUCGGUCACGGCACGCACUGCGCGUCGACGGCCGCGGGCACGGUCGUGGCGGACGCGGACUACUACGGCCUGGCCCGGGGCGCGGCCAAGGGCGGCGCGCCCGCGAGCCGCGUGGCCACGUACAAGGUGUGCACCAUGGGCGGGUGCUCUAGCUCUGCAUUGCUCAAGGCCAUCGACGACGCGGUGAGCGAUGGCGUGGACGUGAUCUCCAUCUCCAUCGGCAUGAGCUCCGCCUUCGCGUCCGACUUCCUCAGCGACCCCAUCGCGCUGGGCGCGUUCCACGCGCACCAGAGGGGCGUCCUGGUGGUCUGCUCCGGCGGCAACGACGGCCCUAAUCCCUACACGGUCGUCAACUCCGCUCCGUGGAUCCUCACCGUCGCCGCUUCCAGCAUCGACCGCACCUUCCAGUCCAGCGUCGUCCUCGGCAACGGGAACGUCGUCAAGGGAGUCGCCAUCAACUUCUCCAACCAAAGCCUCAGCGGAGACCGGUUCCCUCUGGUGUCCGGAGCACAAGCGGCAGGCCGGUACACGCCGGUGUCCGAGGCAAGCAACUGUUAUCCGGGAUCGUUGGACGUGCAGAAGGUAGCCGGAAAGAUCGUAGUGUGUGUGGGCACGAACUCGAUGGUGUCGCGGCGGGUGAAGAAGCUGGUGGCGGAGGGGUCCGGGGCGAGUGGGCUGGUGUUGAUCGACGACACGGAGAAGGACGUGCCGUUCGAUGCCGGCAGCUUCGCCUUCUCCCAGGUGGGCGCCGACUUGGGCGCGCAGAUCCUCGACUACAUCAACUCCACCAAGAAUCCGACGGCCGUGAUCCUCCCGACCGAGGACGUGAAGCUGUUCAAGCCCGCGCCCAUGGUGGCGUCCUUCUCAGCGCGCGGCCCUGGUGGUCUCACCGAAUCCAUCCUCAAGCCUGAUCUAAUGGCGCCCGGGGUCACCAUCCUCGCCGCCGCGAUGCCGUCCACAGACAAGGCGGACGUCCCCGACGGCAACAAGGCCUCGGCAUUCGCCAUCAAGUCCGGCACUUCCAUGGCCUGCCCGCACGUCGCAGGCGCCGGCGCCUUCGUCAAGUCGGCCCACCCGGGCUGGUCCCCGUCCAUGAUCAGAUCAGCUCUCAUGACCACAGCGACGACGAGAAACAACCUCGGGCAGCCGGUUGCGAGCAACACCGGCGCGGUGGCGACCGGACACGACAUGGGCGCCGGCGAGAUCAGCCCGCUGCGGGCGCUCAGCCCGGGCCUGGUGUUCGACACCACCGCAAAGGACUACCUCAACUUCCUCUGCUACUACGGCUACAAGGCCAAGCUCGUUCGCAUGGUCUCCGGCGACGCCGGGUUCGCCUGCCCGCGUGGCACGCCCUCGCCGGAUCUCAUCGCCACGGGCAUCAACUACCCGUCCAUCUCCGUGCCGAGGCUCGCGGCCGGGAAGGCGGUCACCGUGUCGCGCACCGCCAUGAACGUGGGCCCCCCCAACGCCACGUACACGGCGACCGUCGAGGCGCCGGCGGGCCUGUCUUUGAAGGUGUUGCCCGAGCGGCUGGUGUUCUCGAGGCGGUGGACGACGGCGGCGUACGAGGUGAGUUUUGCGAGCGCUCGGGCCAGCAAGGGGUACGCUUACGGCGCCGUCACCUGGUCAGAUGGCGCGCACUCGGUCCGGACGCAUUUCGCGGUUAAUGUCGUGUGA
rnacentral:rRNA from 1 species